GUGGCGGGUAACGGCCCACCAAAGCGACGAUCAGUAGCCGACCUGAGAGGGUGACCGGCCACAUUGGGACUGAGACACGGCCCAAACUCCUACGGGAGGCAGCAG
rnacentral:rRNA from 1 species